AGAAAUCUCCUGCACUUGAGAGUGAUGCCUAUCAUGCCUUGCAGCCAGGGAGGGGGCGAUCAGUACCACAGACUGACAUUUACAGAGGGACAGCAUUGAACUUAGGAUAAAACCAGGAAGAGAUAUGAAUCCUAUUCAAAUAUUGACAGCAACAUGUGGUUGUUUUAUGAAGAUAAAGUCUCUUACUACAGAUAGACUACCCAAAAUAACACUGCAAAAAGCAUUUGUCAGAAAGGAAAGGAGGAUUUGAAAUCAUCACCAG